CCUACGGGUGGCAGCAGUGAGGAAUAUUGGUCAAUGGACGAGAGUCUGAACCAGCCAAGUAGCGUGAAGGAUGACUGCCCAAUGGGUUGUAAACUUCUUUUAUAUGGGAAUAAAACAGGGUAUGCAUACCCUCUUGUAUGUACCAUAUGAAUAAGGAUCGGCUAACUCCGUGCCAGCAGCCGCGGUAAUACGGAGGAUCCGAGCGUUAUCCGGAUUUAUUGGGUUUAAAGGGAGCGUAGGUGGGUGGUUAAGUCAGUUGUGAAAGUUUGCGGCCCAACCGUAAAAUUGCAGUUGAAACUGGCAGUCUUGAGUACAGUAGAGGUGGGCGGAAUGCGUGGUGUAGCGGUGAAAUGCUUAGAUAUCACGAAGAACUCCGAUUGCGAAGGCAGCUCGCUGUACUGCAACUGACACUGAUGCUCGAAAGUGUGGGGAUCAAACAGGAUUAGAUACCCUUGUAGUC
rnacentral:rRNA from 1 species